UACGGGGGGAGCAAGCGUUGUUCGGAAUUACUGGGCGUAAAGGGCGCGUAGGCGGCGUGUUAAGUCACUUGUGAAAUCUCUAAGCUUAACUUAGAACGGUCAAGUGAUACUGACGUGCUAGAGUGCAGAAGGGGCAACCGGAAUUCUUGGUGUAGCGGUGAAAUGCGUAGAUAUCAAGAGGAACACCUGAGGUGAAGACGGGUUGCUGGGCUGACACUGACGCUGAGGCGCGAAAGCUAGGGUAGCAAACAGG
rnacentral:rRNA from 1 species